rnacentral:rRNA from 1 species
AUUGAACGCUGGCGGCAUGCCUUACACAUGCAAGUCGAACGGCAGCACGGGUGCUUGCACCUGGUGGCGAGUGGCGAACGGGUGAGUAAUACAUCGGAACGUACCUUAUCGUGGGGGAUAACGCAGCGAAAGCUGUGCUAAUACCGCAUACGCCCUGAGGGGGAAAGCGGGGGAUCGCAAGACCUCGCGCGAUUAGAGCGGCCGAUGCCUGAUUAGCUAGUUGGUGGGGUAAAAGCCCACCAAGGCGACGAUCAGUAGCUGGUCUGAGAGGACGAUCAGCCACACUGGGACUGAGACACGGCCCAGACUCCUACGGGAGGCAGCAGUGGGGAAUUUUGGACAAUGGGGGCAACCCUGAUCCAGCAAUGCCGCGUGAGUGAAGAAGGCCUUCGGGUUGUAAAGCUCUUUUGUCAGGGAAGAAACACCGGCUCUAACACAGUCCGGGAAUGACGGUACCUGAAGAAUAAGCACCGGCUAACUACGUGCCAGCCGCCGCGGUAA